rnacentral:tRNA from 1 species
GUCCUUGUAGUUCAAUGGAUAGAACGUGGGUUUCCGGUACCUAAAAUGGGGGUUCGAUUCCCUCCAAGGGCACCA